rnacentral:lncRNA from 1 species
ACUGACAGGUUACAUAAACUCGGAUGGCUUACAGAACAAUUUUGUGUUUUCUGCGCCGGCGGCUCGGAAAGCUGCGACCACCUCUUGACCUCUUGUGUUUUCGUUCGUUACCUGCUCGUCCGAGUGGAUGGACCGAACUUAUUGCUCGAACCCUCGACGGACGUUAGAGAACUCUGGACAAAAGUUUGCAACCUUGCUGACACACAGAAGAGAGCACAAGUAUUGUCUCUACUAUCCGCCAUCUGGUGGGUUGUUUGGAUCGAGAGAAACGACAUCCUCUUCCGUGCUAAGCAAACUAAUCUUUCCCGAGCUCUAGACCGUAUCAAUCUGCUGUUGGCUGAUUGGAAAACGUAGUAGUAGUAGUAAUAGUAGCGGUUGCAGUAGUGGUGGUUGUAGUAGUUGUAGUAGUCGUGGUAG